AUGCAUUGGGCGGCUUGGUGGAAAUUAUGUGUUCCGAAGGAGAGAGGAGGACUUGGAUUUAGAUAUUUACAUAGCUUUAGUUUAGCAAUGCUGGCUAAGCAAGUAUGGCGCCUCCUGGAGAACCUUGAUUCAUUAUGUGCAAACUUUUUGUGGGCCAAUUACUAUACGUAUGGGAGGCUUUUGGAAGCCCAAAUGAAGAAUCGCAGUUCAUAUACUUGGCAAAGUAUCUGUGCUGGAAUCCAGACCUUUAAGAGAUGUGCAAUAUGGCGUAUUGGGGCUGGUACUCAGGUAAAUAUUUGGACCAAUCCAUGGACCUCGGCGAUCGUUGUAGGACGUGUAAUCUAG
rnacentral:rRNA from 1 species